rnacentral:lncRNA from 1 species
UAUGAUUAUGAUAUAUAUAUAUAUUGUAAUAUUGAUAUGUAUUGAUAUGUCUGAAUCAAAAAGUGUAUACAUACAGACAUAUGUUUAUGAUAAUUUGUAUACAUUUAUACUUAGAAGUGUGUAUGUGGGUGUAAAGAAAUGAAACACAGUAUGCCAUCUAUCCAUAUUUAUCUUUACCCUGUCUACUUCUUGCAUCCAAAUCUGUUCUCAGUUUAAAGUUAAGAGUUCACUGCAUUGUACUAUUAUCUGAACAUCAAUGCGCUUGACUCGAGUCUCCAGAUUCUGUCCAUAAAUGAACAUAUGGAAAUCCUUCUUUUUAACAGCAGUUUCUUCAAGUUCCUGUACUUUUUUCAGUCUUUCCCAUGAACCUCUCUAUACAUUUAUCAAAUAAUCUGUCCAGACAUUUAUGCUGACAUGCAUGCACACACAACACAUGCCCACAUAUUCAUGUACACACACUCAUGCAAACUCAAGUAUACGGUGCUCACUUAUUGAAGUUCACAUAAGAAUGCUAUGAUCUGUAUUGACUUGUUGAUUGAAAGCGUGGGAAAAUUAAAUGAAAUUUAAUAAUUGAACAAUUAAAAUUAAUUAAUUGAGUUUGGUCAUCAAAUUCAAAGUUAAAUUAUAAUGAAUUAAUGUCAGAGGACAACUCCUAGGGCGUUUUUAAAAAAAUUUGAAACAAUAUUCUCUGUCAUGUGGAAACAAUAUUCUCAGUAGGUCAUUCCUUGUUAUUUGAAAAUUGAAAAGAACAACAAAAACAAAAAACUAAAAGAUCUCAUGAAUUGGUGCCCACUAAGUGCCUUUUGUAUUUCAAUUUUCCUACCGUUUCUCCUUGUCAUUGAGUUACUGAUCAAUAAGGAAAAUGAGAUUAUCAAAUGCUCCUGAAAUAAGCUGGUAAUUUUGCAAUACUAAGUUAAUGUUACUAUUUACUUUUAUUCAUAGCAAUAAUAAUUUGUACCAUUAUUAUUACUAUUAUCAUAACCAUCCUCAUUUAGUUCAAUAGUCUCUGUCUUUUGAGACUUAUCCAAGCUGAAUCUAGAAGAUGAUCCGUUUAGGUUGAAAACCAGAUUCAUUAGUCUUGCUAAGCCAUGUCUUGUGUGUAGACCUCACUCUAGCUGGGUCAUGUCCACUCACAUUGAUUGAUUAGUUUUUCAAGCUGAUCAUGCCUGACUAUAAGUCAAAUGAUAUACUCUAACUGGGUCAUGUCUACCCAUACUGGUAGAUUAAUUACUCCAGAUGGGUUAUGUUUUAUCCAUAAGUUAGAUCAAUUACACAAGCUGAGUCAUGUCUAUCCAUCUUGAUACAUAAUAUCAAUAUAUACACAUACAGGCUGUUAGUCUCUUUCCUUUAUAUUUUAAAGCAGUUAAUUUCAAUAGAAGUUGUGCCAAAUAUCCAGUGUUACAGCAACACCAUUUUUUUUUCAUUCAUAACAUCCAAAGGCAUUAAUUAGAAGGAAUAUUAUUCUUUGCUAUAGACUUGUAAUAAUUAAGUCCUUCAUAUUUUUCUCUACCAUAUUUCAGUUUGAAAACUUGCAUUUCAUAAUUUCUAUUUUUUUUCUAAUUUCUUUCAUUAGUAUAUAUUAUUCCUUGCUAUUUCAGUACCAUUUUGUAUAUGUAGAUAUUUCCACAAAAUAUGGCCCCUCUCAAUAUCUAAACUCAAGUGAACAUACUAUUUGAUUAAAGGAACUUUUUUCCCCCUCUUUGAGAACAUCAUGUUCAAAGAGCUUGCUAAUGAACAAUUUAAUUCUAAGACUUUGGUCCAUUUCCAUUGACAAAAAGAAAAAGAUCAAUAUUGUAAUGACCACCAUCAUCAUCGUCAUCAUCAUCAUUAUUACUAUUAUUAUUAUCAGCAUUAUAUUUUUUAAAUUAUUUAUUAAUUUUUGCUUCCAUAGAAUUAUUUGAUAUUUGCCACUUGACAAAUUUUCAGAAAGACAAUGUAAAUGCGAUAAACUAUUCUUUAGGAGUACAAUUCCCACCAAGAUUGAUUUUGAGCAAGGAAACACUGUCGUAGCAUUAAAGAAUCCUUUAUUUGUUUUUGUUUAUACAUAGCACUACUUAUAUUUUAUUAGUUUCUACUUAGAAAACUUGUGAACAUGUCAAAAAUAUCCCUUGCAUACAUGAGAACUUAUUGUCUACUCCUGCCAACCUUGUCAAAAUUUACCACACUAUAUUUACCUACACAGAUAUUCUUUUCACUCUCUUAGCUUACUUUGAGUUUUUAAAGUUUUUUUUUCUUUUCUUCAUUGAAGAUUAUAGCAUAAUUGCUGAUUUACUGUGCUCAUUAGUGUAUGAACUAUGACUGGCUCUGUGUGUGUAUGUGUGUGUGUGGUAUGUUUUCAUGUAGCUAUUGUCACAGAACAUUGAGCUUAACCAUCCAUUAGCCAAAUGUCAUUUUGCAGUGGUGAGACAGGUGUACAAACAAUAACAGCACUAUUAUUUUUAACUGAGGAAGAUCAAUGUCUAGUGGUAUGGUUUCCAUGACAAUCAAAUUUCCUCUCAGAUCUACUUUAUUGCUCAUUUUAAACAGAAUAUGUUUCUAAAUGAGUUUCUUCUAACUUAACCCCUUCUUGAUUUGAAUUCAGUCUUCUCUGUUAAUGAAUUUUUUAUUUGGUGUAUGAUCAUUUCUAUAGUAGUCUGUGUUUACCCAUGGUACCUAAUUUCACUUGGGUGGAUUAAGCUCUGGCAGAGUUCAGUGCCUUGCCUAAAUGACACAUGAGUGCAGUUCAGUACCAGUGUUAGGAUACGAACUCAUAACCUUUCAACUGAGAGACUGACAUCUUAUCUAUUACUUGACUGUUAUAACACUUUGUGUGCCUGUGUAAUUUACACACACACACACACACACACACAUAUAUGUAUAUAUAUAUAUAUACACACAUACACAUAUAUAAUAUAUAAGUAAGGCAGUAUUUAGACAUUGAUAUAAUACUAAGUACUACUAGACUUAUGAAACUCCUGGUUUAUAUAUAUGUGUGUGUGUGUGUGUGGAUAUGUAUGUAUAUACUAAGAUUGUAAAAAAAAUCAAAGAUGUGAAAUUGACUGCUUAUGUUAAAUGUAGGCAUUCAUUAGUGACAGCGACAGACAUAUAUAUAACAAAUACAGAAGCAAAUGAUACGAAUGCCAUUUGAAUUAUUGUUUCCAGGCACCUCACAAAUAUAUACAUAUUUAAGAUAUAUUAAAUAUAUAUAUAUAUAUAUAUGUAUAGACAGAUGUGUGUGUGUAUAUAUGUAUGUAUAUAUGUGUGUGUAUGUAUGUGUGUGUGUGUGUGUAUACAGGUGUUAUGUAAUCUGAGAUUUAAGAUUAUAUGGUUUUCAAAGUUGACCAAAGGUCAGUAUUUGAAACAGAUAUAUGGAGAUCAACUGUCUCACUGGAACAACAAUUACUACUACUCCUACAACUACUACUACUAAUUUCAAUUAGAGGAAAAUUAUUCAAGUGAAUUUGGGUGUUUUCAAGUGAGAUUGAAUGAAUCCCAUAGAAUGCAAGAGAUGGAAUGAAAUUUUGAAAGACAUUUUUUUUUUUCUAUUUUCAAGAGAAAAAAAGAAACCAGAAUUAUAUAUAUAUUAAUGAAAACUCUGUCAAAAUAAGAAGAGAGUAAAGAUGAAAUGGAAUGUGCUCAAAAAGAAAGAAAAAAAUAUUUUACCCUUACCUUUGAAUUGAUUUUUUUCAAUUCAGAAAUAAUAAAAGAUUGCUGGGUUUCCUAUGAUAUGAUAUGGUAUUAUUUGAAUAUUAUGGAAAAAGAAAUAAUGAAAUAAAGACAUUUUUUUUUUUUUAAUUUGUAGCAAAAAUCAUAUGCUGUUGUUAGCUACAAAAAUAAAGAAAAACACGUGAAGGACAUGUUGGAUUUAAUAAAGUUUAAAAGUUGUCAAGAAUAUAAAAAG